rnacentral:snRNA from 1 species
AUGUAAAAGUAGUGCAUAGACUAAAAUUGGAAUGACACAGAGGUUAGCAUGGCCCUUGCACAGGGAUGACAUGCAAAUUCGUGAAACGUUCCGUAUUUUC